rnacentral:rRNA from 1 species
CCUACGGGUGGCUGCAGUGAGGAAUAUUGGUCAAUGGGCGCGAGCCUGAACCAGCCAAGUAGCGUGAAGGAUGACUGCCCUACGGGUUGUAAACUUCUUUUAUAAAGGAAUAAAGUGAGGCACGUGUGCCUUUUUGUAUGUACUUUAUGAAUAAGGAUCGGCUAACUCCGUGCCAGCAGCCGCGGUAAUACGGAGGAUCCGAGCGUUAUCCGGAUUUAUUGGGUUUAAAGGGAGCGUAGGCGGUCCGGAAAGUCAGCGGUAAAAGCCCGGGGCUCAACCCCGGCGAGCCGUUGAAACUGUCGGACUAGAGACGGCGAGAAGUACGCGGAAUGCGCGGUGUAGCGGUGAAAUGCAUAGAUAUCGCGCAGAACUCCGAUUGCGAAGGCAGCGUACCGGCGCCGGACUGACGCUGAGGCACGAAAGCGUGGGUAUCGAACAGGAUUAGAUACCCGUGUAGUC